CCUACGGGUGGGCAGCAGUGGGGAAUAUUGGACAAUGGGCGAAAGCCUGAUCCAGCCAUGCCGCGUGUGUGAAGAAGGCCUUCGGGUUGUAAAGCACUUUCAGUGGGGAAGAAAGCCUUGGGGCUAAUACCCUCGAGGAAGGACAUCACCCACAGAAGAAGCACCGGCUAACUCCGUGCCAGCAGCCGCGGUAAUACGGAGGGUGCGAGCGUUAAUCGGAAUUACUGGGCGUAAAGCGCGCGUAGGCGGUCUGAUAAGCCGGUUGUGAAAGCCCCGGGCUCAACCUGGGAACGGCAUCCGGAACUGUCAGGCUAGAGUGCAGGAGAGGAAGGUAGAAUUCCCGGUGUAGCGGUGAAAUGCGUAGAGAUCGGGAGGAAUACCAGUGGCGAAGGCGGCCUUCUGGACUGACACUGACGCUGAGGUGCGAAAGCGUGGGUAGCAAACAGGAUUAGAUACCCCAGUAGUC
rnacentral:rRNA from 1 species